rnacentral:rRNA from 1 species
GGGGCAGCAGGGGAGUAGCAAUACUCCCGCUGGCGACCGGCGCACGGGUGAGUAACACGUAUGCAACCUGCCCUUGUCAGGGGGAUAAGCGGAAGAAAUUCCGUCUAAUACCGCAUAAUGCUGCGGGGAGACAUCUCCCUGCAGCCAAAGAUUUAUCGGACAAGGAUGGGCAUGCGGCGCAUUAGCUGGUUGGCGGGGUAACGGCCCACCAAGGCGACGAUGCGUAGGGGUUCUGAGAGGAAGGUCCCCCACACUGGUACUGAGACACGGACCAGACUCCUACGGGAGGCAGCAGUGAGGAAUAUUGGUCAAUGGCCGGGAGGCUGAACCAGCCAAGUCGCGUGAGGGAAGACGGUCCUAUGGAUUGUAAACCUCUUUUGUCAGGGAGCAAAAACUGCCACGCGUGGCAGGAUGAGAGUACCUGAAGAAAAAGCAUCGGCUAACUCCGUGCCAGCAGCCGCGGUAAUACGGAGGAUGCGAGCGUUAUCCGGAUUUAUUGGGUUUAAAGGGUGCGUAGGCGGACAGUUAAGUCAGCGGUAAAAUUGAGAGGCUCAACCUCUUCCCGCCGUUGAAACUGAUUGUCUUGAGUGGGCGAGAAGUAUGCGGAAUGCGUGGUGUAGCGGUGAAAUGCAUAGAUAUCACGCAGAACUCCGAUUGCGAAGGCAGCAUACCGGCGCCCAACUGACGCUGAAGCACGAAAGCGUGGGUAUCGAACAGGAUUAGAUACCCUGGUAGUCCACGCAGUAAACG